UUUUUUUUAACACCUCUCUUAAAAAAUGUCACGACCCAAAUAUCGCAAGUCGUGAUAGGACCUAACUCGAUCCUCUAGGUAAGCCAAAUAACAGAAAAUACAAUCCAAAUGAUAUUAUAGGAAAAUAGUGAAUAAUUAUCUGAAUAUUUAUAAAUUGACCCAAUAACUGGUUGUACGAAUCAUGAGCUUCUAAGACUUGAAAUUUAUAAAACUAGUACAAAUAAUUACACAAUCUGUUUGAAAUUUACAUAACAGAUUAACAAAAUCUAAUGUAACACCCCAUAAAUUCGGCUUAGGUGUGAAUGUGCUAAAUGAGUAGUAAGGUUAUAUUUUGGACAUGUGAAGUUCCAUUGGUAUGAUUAUGGGUGGAAAUAAUUAUUUUAGAAUUAAGACGAAGAGUGAGGUGUACAAGAUUUGAUAAAAUCUACGAAGUUUACAAAAGAUCAGUCUUGCAGGAGGUUUAGUCAAAAACGUGUAAGGUAUUUGGGAAAACUCAAAACACGAAAGUUGUAUUCUAACAAUAUAUUGUGUAGCCCAAACGGAUCUCUGUGCAAAAGGUUAUGCGCAUUUUACAGAACAGUGUACAAGAUGAGCGCCAUGAGCAUGACUGCGCUCCUAUGGAAGUGUUACUGCCAUUUUGCGUGGUCAGGUGCGCGGUCAGGCCUAUAGGUGCAUAGGGGCGCUCAUGGGGGGUAAUUUUAAAGCCAUACUUCGUCCCCCAUAGCCCCAAAACAUAAAAUCUUACUCUAGAAAGGGGAACUCUCAAAAACCUAAUUCCUUAAGGUUCCCUCCACCGCCUAAGGUAAGUUCUAAUGGUGAUUCUAAGUUAAUUUCAAUUUUCCAACAUCUUGUUAAUAUGGGUAAACCCUCCAUAUCAUUAGAUAUUUGAUUGGGACAUCAUUGUUGAGAGAAGGAAGCCUAUAACUCGAAUUCAAAGGGUUUGAACUUCAAAAAGGUAUUGUCUUCACUCUCUAAUUGAUUCUAGCAUUUGUUUAAUCAUUAUAAACCCUAGUUCAUGAGAUAUGAGUUGAUGAGUUUCAUAGAAAAGCAUGAACGAUUAUAGGUUUGGGGUGUUGAAUGUUUAUUCUAACCAUUUGAGACUUUAGAAUUUAUCUAGGAGCAAGGGAAUUGUUUAUUGGGUGUGGAGACACCAUUAAUAAGGACUAUGAAGCUUUAUUCUCACCAAGUGUUUGAUAAGAUGCUUAAGUGACCAAAACAUGAGCAUCAUAGCUAAUAUGGAAUCCCUUUGCCUUGUAUUGCUAUAGAUUAAAGUUGAAAGGGUUGACAAACGUGGUAUUGCGCUCAAGAGCAUGAAGUUAAGCUAUGUGAGGCUAACUCUCUAUGUUUUUGAAUGUUAAUAAUUCUCCCUACAUUAUGUUUCUUUUCACACGUUACUAAUUGCCUCAGAAAUAUAGUUUAGCCUAAUUCCUUAAAUUGUUGUAGAACUUCUAUUCUCUAGCUUCAAAACUCAUUCAUGACUUUCAUUCCGAACAUUGUGAUUUCAGUUCGUAUUCAAUAUAGACUUGGGCUUGAUGUCCCUGAGUCUCAGUAUAGCUUACUCAGCAUGUCAUAAACACUUAAUGUUUCAGUGUUCAUAAUCAGUUCAAGAAUACAUGUCUCAGUCUAGUCCUAUUCAGUAUUCCAGUAUUAUGUAACUCAGUGUGAUUCAGCAUUUCAGUAUCAUAUAUUUCAAUAUGAUUCUCAGUUCUUGAUUUUAUAUUCUUGAAUAGGCCUGAGGCCACAGUUUAUGCUUUAUGUAUCUUUGGGCAUGAGGUCGUAGUUAUGUAUACGUAUACAUGGGCACGACGCCUCAGUUGUGCACAUAUACAUAUGGCCUGAGGCCGUAGUAUAAUAUUUAGAUAAACAGGUUGUUCAUCAUUCAGAACUGGGAGUAUUCAUAACCUUAAUUCCUAUGUUUAGUUCAGCUAUCAGUUAUCAAUUACCGUAUUUACAGUUCUUUCCUUCAGUUGUUUUACAUACCAAUGCAAUUCACAUAUACUAAUGUCUCUUUCUGCCCGGGGCCUGCAUCUAGGACAUCUUGUAUCAGCUAUUGGUGAGCCCCAGUCUUUUGGGGCAUUAUCCCUCCCUUUUUCAGUCAUUAUAGUAUUUCCGUUAAUAAGGUAUACCGGGGACCUUAUCCUUGUAAACAGUUAGCAUUUUCAGUAUUCUUUAGAGGCUUCGUAGACUAUAAUCCAGUCAGUCAGAUAUUAGCAGUCUUUUAUGUGUUAGCUUUGUCGGUUACUUGUUUAUACUUGCAGACCUUCCCGUAUUUUCCACAUCUAUGAUAUUUCUGUCAGACCUUUUAGUAGAUUAUCAUGUCAUAUAUUUAGACCCUGAGUCAAAUAGAACUGAAGCAUCUCUACUACAGACCAUAACGGUACCUGUGAUAACUACAUCGGAGGCCUUAGCCUCGGGCCUGGUUGAAAGAGCAUAACAUCGGGGCUGGGCCCUACCACUCUAAACUACGUCCUUGGGACGGCCUCCUGCUGGCUGGCCUCCACCUCUAGCGGCCUGAACUCCACUCUAAUACCUCUACCUCCACCUAUAGCACCUCUACCCCACCCUUAGCUGGCUGAGUGGGCGAUGGUACACCUGGUGCCUGAACCAUGGCACGGAAACCCUGCUACUGCGACUGAACACCAACUAAUCUCUUGCAAGCCCUUUGGAUAUAACUAUACUCACCGCACUCAAAGCAUCAACUUGAGUGCUACAGGUGGGAACUGAGACUGACCCUAGCGUGCCGAUUGACCAUGGGAAUAGCUCUAAAAAGGAGGCACUCUGAUAGGAGCUGAUGGUGUACGGUAGGACUGCUUAUCAGAAUACUGCAUAUGAGAACCCCGAUCACUUGAAGCACCAUGAGAAGUCUGAAGUGCUGAAUAAAAUGGCCUGGGAGGAUAGCCCCUACCAAAAGAAUCUAUACCUCCAGAUGAUCCACAAAUAAACAUGCUUGAAUAACGGAGCCUCUUGACAGACCCCCGACCACUACCCUGUGAUAGAACCAUCUCAACUCUCCUGGCCACAUUGGCUGCAUCCUGAAAAGAAAUCUCGCUCCCAGUCUCCUUAGCCAUCUGCAAUUGAAUCAGCUGAGCAAGUCCCUCAAUGAACCUCCUCACCCUCUCUCUCUUGGUAGGAAGUAUGUUAAGAGCAUGGCGAGCCAAAUCACUGAAUCUGGUCUCAUACUGAGUGACGGUCAUAGAACCAUGUUGGAGAUGCUCAAACAGCCUACGAUAGUCCUCCCUCUGAGUGAUAGGAAGAAAAUUCUCAAGAAAUAGCUGAAAGAACUGAUUCCAAGUCAAGGCGGGCGACCCAACUAGCCUAACCAAACAAUAAUCCCUCUACCAAGUCUUGGCGCAACCUAACAAGCGAAAAGCAGCAUCGACAGACAUAGUUGCUCCAUCACCGGUCUAAGCUACCACACUUUGCUGAACUGCUCCAACUAGUUGAGCUGCUGAAGUCUAAAACUGGGGAGCCAUCUGCUCUGGAGUGCAGGUAGUGGGAGUCUGUGCUCCUCCCCUAGCCUAAGAGAUGGCUGGUGCUACAGGAAGUAAGCCUGCCUGGGUGACACUCUCGAUAAGGCCCACUAGAUGGACCAAAGCAUUCUGGAGAACAGGGGUAGCAAUGAUCCCCUCUAGGACCUGAGCUUGGCCCACCAGAAUUGUCUGGGCUGGAACCUCUUCAUCAAAUACUACCUGAGGUUCCGCCGUUGAUGCUGCUGCUCUGGGCUGAGCUCUACCCCUGCCUCGGCCUCGCCCUCUACCCCUCAUGGGAACUACUUUUGGGGGCUCGGGCUACUGAUCAGUGGAUGAAGAAGCGUGUGUUCUCUCCAUAUUCUAAAUAAUUGAGUAGAAAUUGAAUUAGCAUUGAGAAACCAAACUGCACGACAAAUAUGAAUAGAAGUGAAAUUGUUCCUAACUCUGCAGCCUCUAUGGGAUAAGUACAAACGUCUCCGUACCGAUCCCUCAGACUCUGCCAAGCUUGUCCGUGAAUUGUGAGAGCUAAGAAACCUAGAGCUCUUAAACCAACUUGUAACAACCCGUAUUUCUCACCCUCGGGAGUCGUGAUGGCACUUACUAGUAAAACCUAGGCAAGCCAACUAUUCCAAUUUAUUUACCCUUUUUAUUGUUUAUUUUAAACCUCUUAGCAAUUUUAAGUCAACAUAUCAUAAACAGCGGAAGAAUAAUAAUGCGGAAAAAAAGAAAUUUAACAAUUUAAGCUAAUACCAAAAUGUAUCCAUAAGCUUAACCACCCAGAACUGGUGUCACAAAUUCACGGACUAUCUAAGAAAACUACAAAUAGAGUCCGAACAAGAAAGUACAUGUCUGUCUUUAGAAUAUAAAGAACAGAAAGAAACUAGAUAGGAAGGGGAUUCCAAGGCCUGCGGAUGCCUGCAAGUCUACUUCGGGUCUCCUGAUGGGCUGAAGGCAGCAACCCUUAGCUAAGAUCCAUAUGCUCCAGUACCGAGAUCUGCACACAGUGUAGAGUGUAGUAUCAGCACAACCGACCCCAUGUGCUAGUAAGUGUGGAGCUUACCCUCGGUGAAGUAGUGACGAGCCUAGGACAAGACUACCAACUAAACCUGUGCAGUUAAAGCAUAUACGACAAGUAAUAAGAACGGAAACUAACAGUUAAAGUUGGGAAGGGGAAUCAUGUUGCGGGGGAAAAUCGAGUACCAAUAGUAACUCAGGAGAAAAAAACAUAAAGAACAUUUUAAGGUUUGUAUCAGUAAGAAUAGGGAAACGGUAACAAAUCAAUAUCCACUUUUAUUAUUUAUUGUUGUGGUGUGCAUCCCAAUCCAAAUCAUAUAACACUGUUGCGGUAUGCAACCCGAUCCGAUCAUAUAUCACUGUUGUGGCGUGCAACUCGAUCCAGUCAUAUAUCACUGUUGUGGCGGGCAACCCGACCCCUUCGGUCCUCCCUUAUUACUCCAUGUUGCGGCAGGCAACCCGAUCCCAUAUAAUAUUUUUAUGGUGUGCAACCGAUCCCAAUAUACAAUUCAACACCAAUCACAAAAUAAUCCCGGCAAGGGAACAAUAAGGAAACAACAAUAUCCCAGCAAGGGAGUCAACAAUGAGAAUAAACACUCCCUGGCAAGGGACCCAAUAGUAAGAAUAAAAUACGUUCCGGCAAGGGAAUCAGCUAUAACCAAACUUGAACCAACAUUUAACUUCACAAAUGAAACCUCAACUGGAACCAAUACUCAGAAAUAAACAAACACCACGAGAAUAAUGAUAAUUCUUGAUCAACACAGAGUAUCAACAACUUAGCCAUUUGUAGUACUUAUUAAGAAUACAACAAUUACAAUUUAAAACUCACGGGCAUGCUUGACAACGACGUAUAUAUACUCGUCAUUAUACCUAUAUGUCGUACACUACACUAGCACAUAGCAAUUAAAGCACAAUACCUAUUCCUUCAAGUUAAGGUUAGACCAAACACUGACGUCGAACUUCCACGGCCAACUGAAGCCUCAAACAUCGCCUUUCCUUUAGAAUUUGCCUCCAAAUUACUUGUAUCUAGCCCAAAUUAAUUUAACAGCAUCAAUAAAUGCUAAAGAAUUCAACCCCAAUGCUAAACUAUAGGUUUUCUAUCAUUCUUCCCAAAAAGUUAAAAAUCAACCCCGGGCCCGCUUGGUCAAAACUCGACGUUUGGACCAAACCUUGAUCACGCAUUCACCCACAAGCCCAAAUAUGCAAUUAGUUUCAAAAUUCGACCGCAAAACGAGGUCUAAAUUCUAAUUAUUCGGAAAUCCCUAACUCUACCUAAAUUCCUAAUUUCUACCAUGGAAACUUCUGAUUUUUGAUUAAAAAGUGAUGAAAAACAUUGGGUGAUUGAAAGAGUAAAGUUUAGAAUUGAUUACCAACACUUUGGGGAUGAAAUUGUGAAGAAAAUCGCCUGUAGCCUUGGGAGUUCGAAAAUAUGAUAAAAAUGAGUUCUGCCCAUUUUUGGUUCUGUUUUCAAAGACUAGGCAAGCCUUCAUCGCGUUCGCCAUGGGUCAGGCCUAAAUGGCCUUCGCGUUUGCGGUCAAUUGGCCGCAUUCGCGUUGAAGAAAAUCCCUUUCCCCCAGUCUCCGUCCAAAAGGCCUACGCGUUUGAGAUUGCAGGUCCGCGUUCGCGAAGGGUAACACCCCUAAGGCUUCGCGUUCGUGACUUGUGUUUCGCAUUCGCAUAGAAGGAAUUUUCCUUCAGACUGACUUUCCUUUUGCGUUCGCGAGAUUCCUUCGAAAACACGAAGAACAAAACACCAUCACACCAGAAACAACAAACCAGCAAUUUUUCCUAAGUGUAAAAACAUCCUGUGGCCUAUCCAAAACUUACCUGAGCCCUCAGUGCUCCAAACCAAAUAUGCAUACUAACUCUAAAACAUCAUAUGAACUUACUCGUGCGAUCAAAUCGAUCUCCCGUUCGCGAAGGGUUGUGGUGUGAGGCAGGAAGUUUGUCCUUCACGUUCACAAUAUGGGUCCCGAGUUCGCGAAGGGUUAGGUUCAGCAUUCAUCACGAACAUGAUGAGUUUCCCGUGUUCACGUAGACUAAAUGGGAGCAGCUGGGACCCAGUUAACUUGAGUUUCGCGUUCGCGAGCUAGAGGUCACAUUUGCGAUAGGUUGAGGGGCUUUGUGUUCGCGUUCUCCUUCAUGAUGAAUGAUUUAUGUUGUCAAUGAAUUUUGUGCUUCACGAAUGGGAGGUGUUGACCGCGUUCGCGAAGAAGGAAAGGGUCCCAUUUUUAUUUCACCGUAUCGUAUGGCACCCGCGAAGUUGAAGGAGCAGCUUUAGGAACUCCUUUAUAAGGGGUUUAUUCAGACUAGUGUAUCGCGUUGGGGUGCGCCUGUUCUAUUUAUGAAGAAGAAGGAUGGCAUGAUGAGGAUGUGCAUUGAUUACACAUAGUUGAACAAAGUAACAAUCAAGAACAAAUAUCCUUUGCCUCGUAUCGAUGAUUUGUUUGGCCAGCUUCAGGGAGCGAGAGUGUUCUCCAAGAUUAAUUUUUGUUCAUCAUAUUACCAGCUAAAGAUUAGGGACUCGGAUAUUUUUAAACAGCUUUCAGGACCCGAUGUAGUCAUUAUGAGUUCCUUAUGAUGUCUUUUGGGCUGACCAAUGCCCCUACAACGUUCAUGCAUUUGAUGAAUAGCGUCUUUCAACCUUAUCUCGACUCAUUUGUCAUAGUUUUCAUUGAUGAUAUUCUGAUGUAUUCGCGUAGUCAGGAGGAGCACGCAGAGCAUUUGAGAGUUGUGUUGCAGAGAUUGAGGGAAGAGUUAAAGCUUCUUCUAGUGUGAGUUUCGGCUCAGUUUAGUGGCUUUCUUGGGGCACGUGGUGACCAGUGAGGUAUCCAGGUUGAUCCGAAGAAGAUAGAGGUGGUUAGACUUAUCCCAGACCGUCCUCAACUACAGAGAUUCGCAACUUUCUUGGAUUGGCGGGCUUUUACCGUCGGUUUGUUCAAGGAUUUUCAUCUAUCGCAUCACCCAUGACCAAGUUGACUCAAAAGGGUGCUCCUUUCAUGUGGUCGGAUGAGUGUGAGAAGAGCUUUCAGAAGCUCAAGACUGCCUUAACCACAACUCCGGUGUUAGUUCUGCCAUCAGCUUCAGGUUCAUAUACAGUGUAUUGUGAUGCUUGGAGAGUUGGUAUUGGGUGUGUGUUGAUGUAGAAGGGUAGAGUUAUCUCUUAUGCUUCUCGUCAGUUGAAGCCCCAUGAGAAGAACUACCAUGUUCAUNNNNNNNNNNNNNNNNNNNNNNNNNUUUACUGAUCAUCGUAGCCUCCAGCACUUGUUCAAGCAGAAGGAUCUCAAUUUGUGGCAGCGGAGAUGGUUAGAGCUGCUAAAGGACUAUGAUAUCACUAUUUUGUACCAUUGGGGGAAGUCCAAUAUGGUCGCCGAUUCCUUGAGUAGGAAGGCGGUGAGUAUGGGGAGUUUGGCGUAUAAUCCUGUUUAGGAGAGAUCUCUUGUAGUUAAUAUUGAGGGCUUGGCCAAUCGGUUCGUGAGGUUAGUUAUUUCGGAGCCCAAUCGGGUAUUGGCUUGUGUGAUUUCUCAGUUUUCCUUAUUUGAUCGCAUUAGAGAGCGCCAAUAUGAUGAUCCUCACUUGCUUUUUCUUAAGGACAGAGUUCAGCACGAUGAUGCUAGAGAUGUAACUAUUGGUAAUAAUGGGGUAUUGAGGAUGCAGGGCCGGAGAUGAAUGCCCAAUGUAGAUGGGCUUUGGAAGUUGAUUUUGGAGGAGGCCCAUAGCUCGCAAUAUUCAAUUCAUCCGGGUGCCGCGAAGAUGUAUCAGGAUCUGAGACAACCUUAUUGUUGGAGGAGAAUGAAGGACAUUGUAAAAUUUGUAGCACGAUUUCUAAAUUGUCAGUAGGUGAAAUAUGAGCAUCAAAGACUGGGUGGCUUGCUUCAGCAUAUGGAUAUUCUAGAGUGGAAGUGGGAGCGGAUCACCAUGGACUUUGUAGUUGGGCUCCCACAAACUUUGAAGAAGUUCGAUGCUAUUUAGGUGAUUGUGGAUCGGCUGAGCAAUUCCGCACACUUCAUUCCUGUGUGUACUACCUAUUCUUCAUAGCGGUUGGCAGAGAUAUAUAUCCAGGAGAUUGUUCGUGUGCAUGGUGUCCCAUUUUCCAUUAUUUCAGAUAGAGGUACUCAGUUUACUUAACAGUUUUGGAGGUCUGUACAGCGAAAGUUGGGUACUCAGGUUGAGUUGAGCACAACUUUUCACCCUCAGUUGGACGGGCAGUCCGAGUGCACUAUUCAGAUAUUGGAGGACAUGUUGCGCACUUGUGUAAUUGAUAUUGGAGUGUCGUGGGAUUAGUUUCUACCGAUCGCAUAGUUUGCUUAUAACAACAGUUAUUAGUUGAGUAUACAGAUUGCUCUAUAUUAGGCUUUAUAAGGGAGAUGGAAUAGCUCUCCGAUAGGUUGGUUUGAGCCGGGUAAGGCUAGGCUUUUGGGUACUGACUUAGUGCAGGAUACCUUAGACAAGGUGAAGGUGAUUCAACAGUGGCUUCGUACAGUGCAGUCGAGACAAAAAAGUUAUGCUGACUGGAAGGUUCGGGAUGUNNNNNNNNNNNNNNNNNNNNNNNNNNNNNNNNNNNNNNNNNNNNNNNNNNNNNNNNNNNNNNNNNNNNNNNNNNNNNNNNNNNNNNNNNNNNNNNNNNNNNNNNNNNNNNNNNNNNNNNNNNNNNNNNNNNNNNNNNNNNNNNNNNNNNNNNNNNNNNNNNNNNNNNNNNNNNNNNNNNNNNNNNNNNNNNNNNNNNNNNNNNNNNNNNNNNNNNNNNNNNNNNNNNNNNNNNNNNNNNNNNNNNNNNNNNNNNNNNNNNNNNNNNNNNNNNNNNNNNNNNNNNNNNNNNNNNNNNNNNNNNNNNNNNNNNNNNNNNNNNNNNNNNNNNNNNNNNNNNNNNNNNNNNNNNNNNNNNNNNNNNNNNNNNNNNNNNNNNNNNNNNNNNNNNNNNNNNNNNNNNNNNNNNAGCAUGGUUCAGUUAGAUGAUGAUUUGACUUAUGAUGUGGAGCCAGUAGCUAUUUUGGAGCGUCAGGUUCGAAAGUUAAGGUUAAAGGAUGUAGUUUCAGUGAAAGUGCAGUGGAGAGGUCGGCCCCGUGGAGGAGGCUACCUGGGAGAUCGAGCGAGAGAUGCGGAGCAGAUAUCCUCACCUAUUUGAGACUUUAGGCAUGUUUCUUGACCCGUCCAAGGAUGAACGUUUGUUUACGUGGGGGAGGAUGUAAUGACCCGACCGAUCAUUUCAUGAGUUACUUCUCCGCUUUCCCCAUUUGUACAUCUUAUCAUCUUGUUCAGCUGUAUUAUGUGUUAUCGAGUUGAUUGGUUUGGGUUCGGAGAGGUUUUGGAAUGGAAUGAGAUACUUACUCUCUUUUGAGUAAGCUUAGGUUGAAAAAGUCAACCGAAUGUUGAAUUAUGUGAAAAAGGGCUCGGAUGUGAAUUCCGAUGGUUCGGAUAGCUUCAGGAGGUGAUUUGGGACUUAGGAGCAUGAUCAGAAUGGGUUUUGGAGGUUCGGAGUAGAUUUAGGCUAGAACUGGCAAACUUUGGAAUUUUAGCAUUUUUCGAUUGAUGAGAUUUUGAUAUAGGGUCGUAAUGGAAGUUGGGGAAGGUCCGUUGUGUCAUUUGUGAUGUGUGUGCAAAAUUUCAGGUCAUUCAGACGAGUUUGAUAGACUUUUUGAUCGAAUGCAGAAUUUGGAAGUUUUUGGAUUUCUUAGGUUUGAAUCCGAUGAUGAUUUGGUGUUUUGAUGUUGUUUUGAGCGUUCUGAGGGCUGGAACAAGUUUGAAUGAUGUUAUGGGAUAUGUUGACAUGUUCGGUUGAGGUCUCAAGGGCCUCGGGUGAGUUUCGGGUAGUUGAACGGAUCAAAUUCAUGUUGGAGAAGUUGCAGAUUUCUGUUGUUGGUGUUUCAGACAUUUGGCCUUCGCGUUCGUGAGUGGACUCUUACGUUCGUGAAGGGAUGUAUUGUGAGGCAGGAAUUUUGGCCUUCGCGUUCGUGAUAUGGGUCCCGUGUUCGUGAAGGGUUGGGUUCAGCGUUCAUCGUGAACGCGAUGAGUUGCCCGCGUUCGUGUAGAGUAAAUGGGAGAAUUUGUGUCUCGGUUCAUUUGAGCUUCGAGUUCGAGAGCUAGAGGUCGCAUUUGCGAUGGGUUGAGGAGUUUCGCGUUCAGGAUGUCGCAUUUGUGAUGAAGGAUUUAAGUGGUCAACGGACUUUGUGCUUCGCGAACGCGAGGCGUUGACCGCAUUCGUGAAGAAGGAAAGGGUCACCUGGACAAAAUGUUUAAAUAGCCAUUAUCCGCGAUAUUAAUAUUUUAAAUGAUAUUUUGGGUUGAGCAUCAUGUUUUACCAUUGCCCGAGUCGCUUGAGAGAUUUCUAACUGAAUCACACCGAGGGCCUGUGUGGUGAGAAUAUUAUGGGAUCGGGCUGCGCGGCGUAAUAAUGUUGUAAUGAUUCAUGAUUAUGAGGCCGAUGGCCUGAUUUGUUACGCCACGAGGUGGCUUGUUAUGAGGCUGAGGGUCAAUUUGAUUAUGCCACGAGAUGGCUUGUUAUAGCGCUUGGGCUAUAGGAGGCCUUUUAGUGUCUGCACCCCCUAGUGAGCGCGGGUACCCAAUGUGAGAUGUGAUAUUUCCCAAAGGGCAGUUGUUGUUUCAUGUUAUUUCCCGAGGGGCUGAUACGAGUGAUUGUGAGGUAGCCCGAGGGGCUGGUUCUGUUGGUAUUCUGCCCGAGAAGCGGUUAUGGUACUUGUUUUUCCUCGAGGGGAUGAUUUAUGUUACUAUCCUUUUCUCACUGUUUUCAUCACUCGUUUGAACUACUGAAAGAUGUAUUAAAAAAGUUUUUACUGAACUGAGACGUUUUCACAAGUUUUACUGUUUUACUGCAUUGUUCUAGAUACUAUUUUGUUGUAGCAUUAUGCUAUGGUUUACGUGUUUUCUUAAUACUCCGCUGCCUUUACUUUUAUUACUUACUGAGUUGGCAUACUCACAUUACUCCCUGCACCCUGAUUGUAGAUCCAGGAGUCUUGGGUAUCGCCAAUGAGUGCUGAUUUGUCAUCCAGCAGGCCUUUGAAGUUUACUAGUGUCACGACCCAAAAUAGGCCCGGUCGUGAUGGUGCAUAUCGUGAAACUACGCCAGCCGACACAAAUCCCGAACCAACCAUUAUUCAAUAAAAGUUAUUCUUAUACCAUUUAUUAAUCAAAAAUAUAAUGAUGUGAAUUUAAAAUAAUAGUGCAAAAUAAAUAUACAAGCCUGACAUCGGGGUGUCACUAGUAAUGAGCAUCUACUAAAACCUGAAUACAACGAAAAGUCUGAAAAAUGCACUAAAUGCAGUCUAAUGAAAACAAGAGGGAGAAAAGUUUUGCUCUGAAUGCGAGGAAGCUACCUUGCUAAAACUCUGAUGUCUCUGCCUCUAAGUGAUCAAUGUCACACCUCCUUUUUCUACCUACACCCCCAGAAGAGGGCGUAAAGGAGUUUUUCCAAUUAAAGAACAAUCGGAACGGGAUUUAAUUAUUAAUGAUUCAGAGUCGCCACUUGGGAUAUUAAUGGUGUCCCAAGUCACCGGUUGAAUCCCGAACCGAGGGAAAAUAUGACUCUGUUAACAGUCCGCGAACCAGAAAUUCGGGUAAGGAAUUCUGUUAAUCCGGGAGAAGGUGUUAGGCAUUCCCGGGUUCCGUGGUUCUAGCACGGUCGCUUAACUGUUGUGUUUAAUUUCAUUUGAUUUUAAUACAUGCUAGCUUAUGUGCCUUUUAUUUGUAAACCACUUUUUAUCAUUAUUUAUUUUAAAAGAAUUGCGACGUCGUGAAAACACGUUUCGAACCACGUCGCAAUCAAUGCACCCGCGGUUGUUGACACAUUUCGACUUCGUCAUUUGGGUCACAUAAAUGCGCACCCGAGUUUAGGAACGUAAAUUAUUAAAUUAGCGCGCCUAAAGCAACUACGCGUUUGCAACUUUGCGAGGGCCAUGGAAAGUCCACUAGGUGGCACGCCUCGAAUUCUAAGGAAUGAAAUAUCAAUUAAGUAAGGGCCAUGCAUUUUGAGAUUUUAUUUGGCACGACACGCCUCGAAUUCUAAGGAAUCAAAUAUUAAUUAAAUAAGGGCCAUGCAUUUUGAGAUUUUAUUUGGCACGGCACGCCUCGAAUUAUUUUAAAAGGAUUUUUACUUAACUAAAUCAGACUACGAUGUCUUUGAAUUAAUUAAUAUCCUAAAAACUAAUUUAAGAUAAACGACGUGAUCAUAUGAACUAACAAUUUGCUAAUAAAUCAACUAAAUGAAACAAAAUGCAAAGAAAAUUUACUUCAUUCGCAACUUUUAUAACAAACAGAAGCAUGUAGUCAUCUAUUGAGCAUUAUUUCUUAGUUAUAUACAGUUAUCAUCUUCACUUGUUUUAUGAUGCAAUAACACGGAUAUUAGAGCAAACGACUUCAACAUAUAAUCGUGACCACAAAACUCUUAUUAACCCAACAACCAAAAGUCAAGAAAUUAGAAAAUAUCACGGCAACCUAAGAAACACUCAAUCAAAUCUACAUCGUCUUCAAUAUCCACAAACAAAGUGUUAACACUCAGAAUCACUAGAAAUUGACAAUUCGAUCAAUCGUACAAUGGCUCACCCAAGGUUUUUGUUCACUAUAAAUAAAUUAAGACAGAUAGAGUAGUAAAUGCACGAACUUGAGAAAAGCAGUUUUCGAUUAAUAACGAGAUUCCGGCAAUUACAUGAAACAAAAGAAAAUCACGACUUCGAUUAGAAUUUGAAGUAAACGAUCAGUCCAGAUAGAACCACGAGCUACCUUGGACGGCAACAAAACUUCGAAACCCCCCUCAGUGCCUCAAUCGAACAAUUUGGGAGUAAUAUGGAUUUGUUGUCAGCUUUAGACACUUUAAACAAAGUGUAUACAAGUGUGUGUGAGUGUAAUGGCUGCUUCAUUUCUUUGGAGAAAAAGCCAUGGUUGAGGCUGCAUCGAAGAAGAACGACGGGGUCUGUUUGCUUGUGCCUAAAAAUGUGGCGGAUCCGAUUUGCUUAGAGGUCUUUUUGUUUUCUAUGAAGAAGAAGAAACGUGGGGGAGGGGGGCGUUCAGUGUUCAGAGGCUAUGGAGAUUUGGAGAUUGGGGUCGUUGGUUUCAGGGGGGUGGUGGGGUGCGAAGAAGAUGAUCCGGGUGGGGGUGGGUCGUUUCUCUUGUGUCUCUGCGGCGCAGCUUUCUGAUCUUUUCAGCUCCUUUUGUCCGUUCUUCCCCCUAAUUUUUUAGGCUUUGUUUAAUAUAUAUAGGUCUAGGUUAGUGGUAGGGUUUUAGGUUAAGGGGUAUGGGCCUAGGAAUUAUGGGGUUGGCAAUUGUGGGCUAGGUUCAAAAUUAGGCCAAAAGAUGGGUUGCUCGAGCCCAAGCUCUAUUCUUUUGCCGCGAAUGAGAUUAAAAAUACGCGCCCAUUGUUAAUUAUUUCUACUAUUCAAAUAAUUAUUAAAAUAAAACUAACCAUUAAAAUAAAU
rnacentral:lncRNA from 1 species